rnacentral:rRNA from 1 species
UACGUAGGGGGCAAGCGUUGUCCGGAAUUAUUGGGCGUAAAGCGCGUGCAGGUGGUUUCUUAGGUCCGAUGUGAAAGCCCACGGCUCAACCGUGGAGGGUCAUUGGAAACUGGGGAACUUGAGUGCAGAAGAGGAAAGUGGAAUUCCAAGUGUAGCGGUGAAAUGCGUAGAGAUUUGGAGGAACACCAGUGGCGAAGGCGACUUUCUGGUCUGUAACUGACACUGAGGCGCGAAAGCCAGGGGAGCGAACGGG